UGGACUUCGAGAUCAUGACCUGAGCCGAAGUCGGACGCUUAACCUACUGAGCCACCCAGGUGUCCCAAUGUUUUUUUAAAUCCUUAUUUUUAUUUAUGUCUAGAGGUCACUGCUGUGUCUUCCUAAUGUAGUAGUCAGCCAAUGUUUUUAGGCAGAGGUUGUACCCAAAUAUUUUAAGCCUGUGAGAAUCCUGUCCUCUGCUGAUCGAUGUGUUUGUGGGUUGGGAACCCUUUCAAGCCUCCAUUGGCUUUCGCUCUUCCCUGGCCUCUCCUGGGUCUCUCCCAUUCAUGCAUAGCUCCCCAGUUCACCAAGGAUGUGUGGAGAGUGUAGGUCAGCUUUUCUAUGGUUUUCUCACUUUGGGGCCCUUUCUGUCCUAUUUUCUGGCUGGUCUUACCCCACCUUGGACCAGAAGCUUGGGUUGGUAAGGCUGCAGGUGUUUGUCAUUCAUUUCCCAACUGAACGAACCACUUUUAGCCAGCAAAAGUAAAAACCUAGAUUUUAGGGUUUUGCAGCCGGUCCCACAUUGGUAAGGCCACCAUUUUUGCCAAUUGAGCUGGGAGGGUGAACGGCUGGGAGCAGCCUCCAGCAGUUUUAAAAAAAAUGAUGCCUCUCAUUUUAUUGUCUGCCUUUGGUGGAUUUCCAGCACCCUGAAGCAGUUGUUAUUGACCAUUUUCCCUAAUACACACGCACACGCAUGCACGCGCAUAUUUGGUUGGUUGGUUGGUUGGUUGGUUGGUUGUUUUUACAGAGAGGAAUCGACUACCUCUUUAUAUAGGACUGUGCUCACCUUCUUCUCAUUCUUUACUAUCUUUUCAGGUGAAGAAAGUGAGUCUCAAAGAAUGAAGCAAUUCGCCCUAGGUCACGCAGCUGUGACGUAGGGGACCUAGAAUCACACUGUGGGGCUCUAUUUGUAAAUUUAAAAAGGCACUUUUAAGAAGUAUGGCUGACAUACAAUAAUUUAUACUCAUUUAAACCAUACACCCUGACAGGUUUUGACAUAUGCGUAUGCACAUUAACGCCAUCAAGAUAGUGAACAUCUCAUUGUAUGUUUCUUUAUACUCUUUCUUCCCUUCCCACAUCUCUAGGCAACCACUGAUUUACUUUCACUCUAGUUUGCAUUUCCUAGAAUUGCAUGUUGGUGCAACCACACAGAAUAUACUUUCUUUUGUCUAUCUUUUUUCACUCAGCAUAAUUUAUCCAUAUAUAUCAGCAGUUUGUUUCUUCUUAUUGUGAAAUAGUAUUCCAUCGUAUGGACAGGCGAGGGUUCGGCUAUUUAUCUGUUGAUGGAUGUUUGUAUUAUGUCCAGGUUUGGGUUAUUACAAAUAAAUCUGCAGACAUUUGUGUACAAGUCUUUGUGCACACACAUAGACGUGUGCUUUCAUUGCUCUUGGGUUAUAUUUAGGAGCGGUAUAGCUGGGUCAUACGGAAGGUAAACGUUCAACAUUUAAAAUAAGUUUUAAUUUGGAAUAAUUUUAGAUUUACUGACGUUUCAAAGAUAGCACAGACAGUUUAGUUUCCGUUAUUAUUAGCAUCUUACAUCCCUAUCAUGCAUUUGUCAAAGUGAAAAAACUGACACUGAUACGUGACUAUUAAUUAAGCUCCAGACUUUUUCACAUUUCAGCCCUUUUCCCAGUUACACUAUCUUUCUGUUUCAGGGCACCACAUUGCAUCUAGUUGUCCAGUCUCCCUGGUCUCUUCUGGUCUGUUACAAUUUCUAAGCGGUUCCCUUCUCUUCAUGACCUUGGAAGUCUGGAAAAAUACUGGCCAGUUAUCCUGUGGAAUGGAAUAGCAAGUCCUUCCAUCUGGAUUUCUGACGUUUCCUCCUCGUGAUAGAACUGGGUGUAUGAGCUUUGGGAACAACCACCGCAGAAGUGAGGUGCCCUUCUCAUCAUAUCCGGGUUUUGGCCGCUGGAGUCUCUUUUAGGCUACUCCGGUGUCUUUUGUUCCUGCUGCCAUGUCCACAUGCUCAAUUUCUGGUACUACAAGAUGCCGAAAAUACAUCUACAGUCUCCGUGCCCAACCCCCAGAAUCUGUUAUUUCUUCAAGGAGAAUGGUGUUUGGAAACUAAGAUCUGGGACCUAGCAUGCUCGUUAUUGCUGGGGUGUCACUGCUUCUGGGCCUCUUGGGGGAAUGAGAGAGAACCCUAUCCGCUCCCACUAUCCGCCAACCAACGACUAAUGCACUCGACCCCAGUGCGCGUGUAUGCAGUUCCCCGCCUUGGGAAAUAAAGGUAUCACCCAGAGUACAGUGUUGACGGGCAGCUGCUGUUGUGUUUAGCCUUGUGGUUUCCAGUUAAAACGUGGUUUCCCAAAGUUACUUAGAUCAGUUCCUUUCCCCCCAUCUGGGGAGUCUGUUUUUUAAUGGAUGGAAGUCAUGAAGACCAUCAGCUGGUUACAAGGAGGAGACUGUGGACUUAUUUCCUUUCAAAGACCAUAGACAGACUUCAAAUUAACCGUGGAAAUUCCUGACCAGGAUUCAAGAACGAAAAAAUAGAAAAAAGAAAACUUAACCCUUCUCUCUUUUCUCUCCCUGUGAAAGUAACAGCCCCUCCUAAGUGAUACAGUGGGUCCAGUGCUUGCUAAGACAGGACCGCGGCCUUCUUACGUUUUCACCGUGCUUAUGCUUAAAGCAGAACGAACAGGCAUCUCCAAAUAACAAGUUUAUAUUGGGAAAGUCUGUAGAAACACAAGGGGCUUAAGACUGGCUUUGGGGCCAUCCCCAUCACACCACUGUCUCUGACACUUUGGGUUCAAACCCUGCCACCAGCUUAAGCAUUCCUUAUUUGACACUCUCAGUGUGUUUCCAGACCCUUCUCCCAGCCCUGCCUAGCCGCGCCCCUAAAGCAAAAGGAAAGGUUUGAACUGAGCGGUCACGGCUGCUCUACUGCCCCUCAAAGGGAGGAGGACCUGGAUUGUUGCAGGCUCUGCGGGGAGCGGAGCGGGUGGUAUCGGGGCGCCUGCGGGGCUCAC